CAGUCGCCACGGGAAUACGGAGGGUGCAAGCGUUAAUCGGAAUUACUGGGCGUAAAGCGUGCGUAGGCGGUUCGUUAAGUCUGUUGUGAAAGCCCCGGGCUCAACCUGGGAAUGGCAAUGGAUACUGGCGAGCUAGAGUGUGUCAGAGGAUGGUGGAAUUCCCGGUGUAGCGGUGAAAUGCGUAGAGAUCGGGAGGAACAUCAGUGGCGAAGGCGGCCAUCUGGGACAACACUGACGCUGAGGCACGAAAGCGUGGGGAGCAAACAGGAUUAGAUACCCGUGUAGUCCCUGUCUCUUAUAA
rnacentral:rRNA from 1 species